CUUGGUCAUUUAGAGGAAGUAAAAGUCGUAACAAGGUCUCCGUUGGUGAACCAGCGGAGGGAUCAUUACAGAGUUGCAAAACUCCCACAACCCUUUGUUAAUACUACCUGAUCGUUGCUUAGGCAGGCGGCCCCAGGGCGGGGCCUGUAGCCUUCUUUUAGGCGCCUGCCGACGGCAUCACAAAACUCGUUUUUUUCCAGUUAUCUGAGUAUAAAUACACAAUGAGUCAAAACUUUCAACAACGGAUCUCUUGGUUCUGGCAUCGAUGAAGAACGCAGCGAAAUGCGAUAAGUAAUGUGAAUUGCAGAAUUUAGUGAAUCAUCGAAUCUUUGAACGCACAUUGCGCCCGCUAGUAUUCUGGCGGGCAUGCCUGUUCGAGCGUCAUUUCAACCCUCAAGCGCUGUUCGCUUGGUGUUGGGGCUAUUUACAGAUUGUAUCUGUAAGCCCUGAAAAUCAGUGGCGGGCUCGCUAGCAUCCCGAGCGCAGUAAUUUUACUUUCUCGCUUUGGGCGUGCGGCGGGUUUUUUCCCAGCCAUUAAACACUCCUAUUUUUAAAGGUUGACCUCGGAUCAGGUAGGAAUACCCGCUGAACUUAAGCAUAUCAAUAAGCGGAGGAAAAGAAACCAACAGGGAUUGCCCUAGUAACGGCGAGUGAAGCGGCAACAGCUCAAAUUUGAAAUCUGGCCUUCUGGUCCGAGUUGUAAUUUGUAGAGGAUGCUUUUGGUGCGGCGCCUUCUGAGUUCCCUGGAACGGGACGCCAGAGAGGGUGAGAGCCCCGUACAGUCGGACGCCUAACCUUUGUAAAGCUCCUUCGACGAGUCGAGUAGUUUGGGAAUGCUGCUCAAAAUGGGAGGUAAAUUUCUUCUAAAGCUAAAUACCGGCCAGAGACCGAUAGCGCACAAGUAGAGUGAUCGAAAGAUGAAAAGCACUUUGAAAAGAGGGUUAAACAGUACGUGAAAUUGUUGAAAGGGAAGCGCUCGUGACCAGACUUGUGCUCGGUGGAUCAUCUAGCGUUCUCGCUGGUGCACUCCGCCGUGCUCAGGCCAGCAUCGGUUUCCCCGGGGGGAUAAAAGCUUCAGGAACGUGGCUCCUUCGGGAGUGUUAUAGCCUGUUGCAUAAUGCCUUCGGGGGGACCGAGGUUCGCGCUCCGCAAGGAUGCUGGCGUAAUGGUUACCGGCGACCCGUCUUGAAACACGGACC
rnacentral:rRNA from 1 species